rnacentral:rRNA from 1 species
AUUGAACGCUGGCGGCAUGCUUUACACAUGCAAGUCGAACGGUAACAGGCCGCAAGGUGCUGACGAGUGGCGAACGGGCGAGUAAUGCAUCGGAACGUGCCCAGUCAUGGGGGAUAACGCAGCGAAAGCUGUGCUAAUACCGCAUACGAUCUAUGGAUGAAAGCGGGGGACCGUAAGGCCUCGCGCGAUUGGAGCGGCCGAUGUCAGAUUAGGUAGUUGGUGGGGUAAAGGCUCACCAAGCCAACGAUCUGUAGCUGGUCUGAGAGGACGACCAGCCACACUGGGACUGAGACACGGCCCAGACUCCUACGGGAGGCAGCAGUGGGGAAUUUUGGACAAUGGGCGCAAGCCUGAUCCAGCAAUGCCGCGUGCAGGAAGAAGGCCUUCGGGUUGUAAACUGCUUUUGUACGGAACGAAAAGGUUUGGGUUAAUACCCUGGGCCGAUGACGGUACCGUAAGAAUAAGCACCGGCUAACUACGUGCCAGCAGCCGCCGUAAAAC